GACGAACGCUGGCGGCGUGCCUAAUACAUGCAAGUAGAACGCUGAAGAGAGGAGCUUGCUCUUCUUGGAUGAGUUGCGAACGGGUGAGUAACGCGUAGGUAACCUGCCUUGUAGCGGGGGAUAACUAUUGGAAACGAUAGCUAAUACCGCAUAACAAUGGAUGACACAUGUCAUUUAUUUGAAAGGGGCAAUUGCUCCACUACAAGAUGGACCUGCGUUGUAUUAGCUAGUAGGUGAGGUAAUGGCUCACUAGGCGACGAUACAUAGCCGACCUGAGAGGGUGAUCGGCCACACUGGGACUGAGACACGGCCCAGACUCCUACGGGAGGCAGCAGUAGGGAAUCUUCGGCAAUGGGGGCAACCCUGACCGAGCAACGCCGCGUGAGUGAAGAAGGUUUUCGGAUCGUAAAGCUCUGUUGUAAGUCAAGAACGGGUGUGAGAGUGGAAAGUUCACACUGUGACGGUAGCUUACCAGAAAGGGACGGCUAACUACGUG
rnacentral:rRNA from 1 species